ACGACAAUCAAUUGAAGGAACUUGUGAGAAAUAGGAUCUGCCGAGUCGACCUCUAUACCAACGAUGACUCGCGUUAUUCUUUGGCUAUUACUCGGAACGUAACAAAAGUAAAAUCAAUCAAACGGUCGAUGAAACGCUUCGCCCUAAAAAUUGUCCUCGACCCAGCAAUCAAACAUCCAACGCGUGUAAAUAAGAAAAAUGCCCGUUGGCUCCGCUAUACAAUUAACGUAUCUCGAUUUCAUUGUAAGAGUUAAGGGUUAAAUUUUGACUGAGAUAAUCCCGAAAAGAGCGAAGGAGAAAAGAAGAAGAAGAAGAAGAAGAAGAAGAAGAGGAGGUUCUACACGUGUUUGCCCUUCCUGCGUCACACACAUUUCCCCGACGGUAGUCGGUCAUGUAGCGCAAUCUCCAAUUCGUCGUCGGUGGUAUCACUCGGUGUUCCUUAUUCGCGUAUGUUGGUGUAAAGGUGCACACAGUGAAAUUGGUCGGAGGGCGCAUGUCUGACCGACGACGGCUAAGAGGGCGCGAGCAAGAGGGUGAAGCAAGGGUUAGAGGGAGACGAGAGCCCCAGUGUUAACCCCCACCUUUGCCUCUCGUGGCAUCCGCCACUGCCGAGCCCUGGUCACUAGUCCGAACAGUCUACCCCUUGUCACGGCACGUACGCGUUAUCUCGUUCCUUCUCUGUUCCUCACCGUUCUUCCUGUUGCGCUUCAAACCUACGGCAUCCACCAACCUUUUCCAUCAGCAGGGAUAAACGCAACGGCUGCUGUCGAGUCGCGUGCACCUCGAUCCGCGUGGAUCCUUUCAUUUUUUUCAUCGCGAAGAAAAUUUGCACAUCGAGACGCGAUGUUUACGUAGCUGAACGGUAGAAGCUGAUCGUGGACUCGCGCCAGACUUGAAGCGUGAAAACGAGUCUGGCGUGCGAAUACAUGAUUCAUUCCGCCGAUUCGAGUGACAGUAGAAGAUCGUGAUCGUUUAUCGUUCGACAAGUGAGAGGAGAGAGAGAGAGGGGAGAAUCAGCGAGGCGGUAAACGGAGAGGUAACUGGAGGCAGGUGAAAUGGAGAUCACCUAAUGGCAGCGUCCUCCGUAAGGCGAUCCUCGUGCACGCGGCACGGAAUUUCACGAGAAGUUACAAUCGAGCGGAUUAUCCGAACAUCGCUGAGAAAUUAAGUUACGGGGCUGGAAAGGCUGGCGAUCGAUGCUGCUAGUCGCUCGAGAGGAGAGUGCCUCAACGAGCAGCGAGUGAGACAGUGGCGAAUGGAUAGAAAGCGAGGUAAAAAAAAAAAAUCUUUCGCGAAAGGUGUUUGACGAUCUCACGUGCGUCGAGGUUCGUGGAGGUCGUCGACGGUGUUCUGGCGAACGGCGACGUUUGACCUUCGACUAUGGUUCGCGCGUCGUUGAGCAACACGCUGGUCGCCGUCGGUCCAUCAACCCCCGAACACUUGGAACAAACUUCUCUUACUUCUCGUUCCACUUCUUCCGAAGCUUUUUAAAGAGAACAUUAAAGAGACACUGUUCGCACUUUCGAACUAACGUCGUUGCGAGAACGUAGGCGUUUUAAUCGUCUUCGAAAUUGAGUGUUGGCGGUAUUAGGACUUAUAGAGAUCCAAGGAUGAUCCAAUUAACUUAGCUGAGUCUGAUUCGUUUGAAUUAUAUCAUCGAAGCUUCGGAGAGAGCAGGUUAUAACGAGGCGAUCCACGUGUUCGAUGUCCAUCCCCGUAUGAGAGAUUAAUCCGCACUCCUAUCUGCUCCAUUCUACGGGUUUAUCAGCCUACGAAUAUUGGUCGUCGAAGGGAAUACGUCGCGAUUAACACGCUCGAUGAUUUAAGGUGGAGGAUUGGAGGGAAACGAACCGUGUUACAUCCUGCCAAUUUCUACGAGACGUUUCAAGACGGAGAUGACUGCUCGUCUUUAAAGGAUUUUCAAUAUUCAAAAGUAUUUUCCAUCAAAAUAUUCAAAGAACUCAGAACUAUCUAGAGUGAAAAAAGAAAAAAUUAAAAGAAAGUGGUCCUUUGUUCUAUGUUUCUAUACACGAGUCACGAGGAAGUAGGAUGGGAUUACAGCCUUAAAGCGAAAAGGGACAUCCUUGAAUAAAGUUCACCUUUUCUUGCGUCGAGGGUGGUGCGUUUAAUUUGAGAUAGUGUGAUCAUUGAACGCGGUGAUGAGAAAAUUCCGUCGCAUAGGGAAAGGAGCUUAAAUUGCAAACGCUGCUGGAUCGAGGACAUAGUUUCCACGUGGCGUCGGAUGCGUCCCGGAUCGGAAUGUAAUUUUAGCGAAUAGAUGAUCGCCUCGGUUCUACAGGGAUUACACAAGGCCUUGUCUCGAACGCUAUUGUGGGAUCAAUGUUAUAGUGAUCUUGAGUAAUCUCGUAUGUUCGAAACAAUGUAAAACAACGACGAAGGUAAUUAAAAGGGACUAAAGAACAGAGGACCUCAUCCUCGCGAGCAACUAACAGUGACUUUAUUGAAAAACUAUCGUUCCUUGUAACGGUUGAACAGUGUUUCCAAGUAUUCAAGUAAUCUUCCAGUAUUAGACAAUCAACGACAUGUCCAGUAUUUAACAAUCAUUGACAGAAGCAACGACGAAGCGUGGUCAAAACCAUCUGCUCGAAGCGUUGAGUAAUCGUAGGAGAAAGCAUGAAAUAAUCGUUCAUCGAAGGGCAACCGGCGACCUGUCAGUUCCCGCGACGAGCUCGAUUACCGAAGCAGAAUAAUCUGGAUAAAUCGAAGGUGUACAAGCUGAGAACGAACGUCGAGGUCACUUAUGAUGGGCUGCAGACCGGCAGCUAAGUGGAAGGUGGCGGAAGGGUGCGGUCGCGGGCAACUCGAGUCGGCUUCCUCCUCGCCGAGGUACACCGAGGUGACCAAGCCCACCAGCGAGACGACGAUCGUUCAGAAACGAGAGGAUCGUGGUUCGAGCAGUAGCGUUGAAACGGACGAGGAAGAGGAAGAGGAAGAGCUGGCCGGAAGGGGAUCACAGCAGUGGACGUCGAGGUACGAUCGGUCGUUCGGUAGAAACGAGAGGAUAUUCAGCAGAUAGCUGCCAAGUGAGAAUGCAGAGAUUGCGCUCGACCUUCAAGAGGUCUCGCACCCCGACGGGAGCGGAAAUGAAGUCGCAGUCUAGCCUGGAGGUACCGAAACAAGUCAGGUCAGCCUCCUUCGACGAGAUCCAAUUGGAGGCUAAAAGACAGGACGAUAUCAGAGACGCUAGAUCAACCAGGACCACCUCAUCCUCGUCUUCCUCUUGUUCGCCGGCGAGGUCGCAGGAUUCCUCGCGAGGAAGACGAGCCUCGACGCUCAGAGUGCCGCAGUUGCAAAGCGGACAACGAUCCAAGAGUUUCGACGUCUGCGAGAGAAGUUACGGCUCGUCUUCCAGUCAGCAAUCUCUGGGCAGCAUUCGACGCCCGGAGACGCCAACGAUCCAAGUAUCGGGCUGCUAUCACUGUGCCUGCGUCGAAGAGUAUAAGAAUCUCUAUUCGAGCCGAGACGAGGAGGAGCCUUCCUCGAGGGAAGACGAAGAGGUGGACGAAGACGAGGACACCUCCGACGACGAGGAUUCCGAGUUGAUCGACAGAAGCGAAGGUAGCCCCGAGAUCAGGGUCACUUUGACCACGUUCACCGAGAAAGGCGCCGAUGUCACGGACACGGUACCGGAAGUUGUGUCCCCUGUGGUGCCAGAGAUCGUUCCCGAGGUCGCGGGAGAAGAUACGGACACCAGUGCGGUGAGAGGUGAAUUAUUCCCGGAAAGACAACGCAGAAGAUCGCUCGCCUCGCCGAAACUUGCUCGUCAAGAGGCGCUUACUUCUUACCCCAUCGACCUACCAACGGUGGUCAGCUCGACCGAGGACGAAGAGAAACUCGAGGACGACGAAGACGACGAAGAGGUGGCUAACGUCGAAACCAACAAGUGCAAGAUCGUCGUCAGAGAUAUAUUUCUAACUGUUCCCGAGUUGAAACGGGAUCGUGCCGCUUCCGUGGACUCUUGCUUUAAUAACAAGAACGGAAACGGAGGAGAUGCGGAUACAUUGGCCGUUCCUCAACAGAAUAUACGAUCGAAGAGCGUCGAUAUCGUUCUGCCUACAGACGCGCAGACGAGGUACACGGCUCUACUUCCUGGCACCGAGGCUCGACCUCCAAGAGGAGGGAGAGAAGAGGGUGGAACGAGUGGCGGCCACCGUGAACCCCGAUCAACUCCCGAUUGGGGUCCUGGUGCACUAAAUGGGGAACAUCUUUGGGUACCAACCUCGGCUUCUGGUGAUUUUUGUUACGUCAACGACUGCUCGAAACACGGAGCCCGGAUGAAAUGUGCGGCAUGUCGCGUGGUGGCUCACACGGUGUGCGCGACGAGUUUAAAUUUCGCGUGUAAAUCGAGCUUCCGGGACGUGGGCGUCCGGCAGUAUCGCGAGCAACCGAACACUCAACACCACUGGGUCCAUCGUCGUUCGCAAAAAGGGAAAUGCGGGAACUGUGGCAAGUCUUUCCAAUCGAAGCUGAGCUUCACCUCGAAGGAGAUUGUCGCGGUGAAUUGCAGUUGGUGCAAACGUGCCUACCACAACAAGGAAGCGUGCUUCAACGUGCAGAAAAUCGGUGAAAAUUGUGAACUUGGUGUCCAUUCUUCCAUCAUCGUUCCACCCUCUUGGAUCGUCAAGUUGCCCAGGAAAGGUAGUUUCAAGAGCAGCCUCAGGAAAUCGCCGAGGAAAAAGAAAUCUGGCGGUGGAGGAAGCACCGGAUCCAGAAAGAAAUCGAAGGAAAAAGAUAAAGAGAAGGAUCAGGAUCAAGGGAAAUUGUGGGUGGUCAAACCUAUACCUACGGCAUCCGUGAAACCGGUGCUGGUUUUCAUUAACCCGAAAUCUGGAGGAAAUCAGGGUGCCAAAUUGUUGCAGAAAUUCCAGUGGCUGUUGAAUCCUAGACAGGUGUUCGAUCUGACGCAGGGUGGACCCAAAAUGGGGCUAGAAUUGUUCAAAAAAGUUCCUAAUCUACGAGUUCUCGCGUGUGGUGGUGACGGUACAGUUGGUUGGGUGCUAUCGAUCCUAGAUCAGAUCGGUGCAUCUCCUCCACCGGCCGUCGGGGUACUCCCUCUUGGAACCGGAAACGAUCUGGCAAGGGCGUUAGGUUGGGGCGGUGGUUACACGGACGAGCCAAUCGGGAAAAUCUUAACUAACAUCGGUGAGAGUGACACCACGUUGUUGGAUAGGUGGGAACUGAUAGUCGAAAGAAAUCCGGAUGCCCAGGGCGACGACGAUAACGGCAAGGGCAAAGAGAAUCUACCUCUGAACGUCGUUAAUAAUUACUAUUCCCUUGGAGUAGAUGCUCACAUCGCUCUUGAGUUUCACGAGGCUCGAGAGGCGCAUCCAGAAAAGUUCAACUCGCGAUUACGAAACAAGAUGUUCUACGGUCAGAUGGGUGGCAAGGAUCUGGUCUUGCGGAAAUGGAAGGACCUCUCGGAAUUCGUCACGUUGGAAUGCGAUGGCCAGGAUGUGACGCCAAAAUUGAAGGAACAUCGCGUCCAUGCCAUUGUAUUUCUGAACAUCGCCUCGUACGGUGGCGGGACACAUCCUUGGGGCGCUGCUAGUGGAACCAAGGAACCAUCGACCGAGGAUGGGAUAAUAGAGGUCGUUGGUUUGACGACGUACCAACUUCCGCUUCUUCAAGCAGGGGGUCAUGGUACCUGUAUUGCUCAAUGUAGCACAGCUAAACUGGUUACUACGAAAACCAUUCCAAUGCAGGUUGACGGAGAGGCUUGCCGAUUGUUGCCAUCUAUUAUAAAUAUGAAAUUAUUAAACAAAGCAACGAUGCUGGCAAAAAGGAGGAACGCUAGCAAGCCGCCGCAGGACGUGAAACUGGAUAGAUUAAACUUGCCUGUAAUGAAAAUAAAAAUGUCAGAUUACGAGAAGUAUCAUCACGAUAAAGACAUGUUGAAGAACGCCGCGUCGACGUGGAUCGCUGAUCCACUCGAUCUCGAUGCCACCACGGACCUCGAAUCCUUGAGGACGAUCCUGGCGAAAGAUCAUAAUAUGGACACUUGUUGCUUCCUUGACUCGUGUACCGCGGAACGGUUCUUCAGGAUCGACAGGGCUCAAGAACAGUUGCAUUACGUGACCGAUGUUGCUGUCGAGGUAGUCUACGUUCUCGAAGAGACUGCGAACAAUCAGUCAACCGAACCUGAGGGAAAGGUAUCUGCCAGCCAGGAACCUGAAACUGCUCAUCCCUCUCCGAGCGAAGAACGGCCAAAAUCAAAUGCAGCCAUGACACAAGAGCAGCCUAAAAGCGAAUCGAAGGCGCAACCAUCACCGGUACCAGAGAGCGAAACGGCUGAGAAACCGGCUGAGGAUACGAAGACGCAAGCCGAGACUCAAGACACCGCCAAGUGUCAGGGAUCAAUGAAGAAAAACAUGGCACGCGACGAACCGCAGAACACGAAGAAAGAGGAAAAGGCUAACGAAGGAAAAGUAUCGAGGGACUCUGUAAAGGAAAGCGGUUCCUCCAAAUCGAUCUCUGUGACGACUGUCGCUCAGUCGCAACAUCAGGCACCACCAACAUUCAUUAGUCCACGAGAUAGACUUUUCGGUUUGAGUUCUGAGGUCCACACCUUUAACACGAGAUUACUGGAGAAAACCAGCGACGGUAUUUUGAAAACUGCAAAGCUCGGCAAUAUCCAGGCUCUAAAGGAACUCCAUGAGAGGGGAUAUUCCCUUAUGUGCAUCGACGCCACUGGACAAACUGCUCUUCACCUGGCAUCGAGAUAUGGUCACAAGGAUAUUGUCAGAUAUCUCAUCGCUUGCGCACCAUCGAGCAUUCUGAACAUGAUCGACAACGACAAAGGUCAAACCGCUUUACACAAAGCGGCUCAAUAUAAACGUCGUUCCGUUUGCUGCAUGCUAGUAGCCGGCGGUGCUAAUUUAACUAUCAAGGAUCGGCAAGGUAACACACCUCGCGAUCUUGCUCUGCAAGCAGAGGAUCGUGAACUCGCAGCAUAUUUAUACAGUCAAGAGCAGUUCCAGCUGACAACGGAAGAAAUGGAGAAUGCCCUUUGACCUACGGCCGUAAUCGGUAGAGCCUGAGCCGACCCUACGUAGACCAUCGAUCUAGGUUCAACGAUCAUCAUCAACGACGAUCUUUCUUUUCUGCGGCGAUCUAGUGUAAGUUGCACGUGAUAAAUUGAUAUUUUUUCUUCGACAGUUGAAGGUGACACCGGAUACUUUUCAAUUUUCCUCGUCGAGCGAAUCGAGAUCACUGUCAACCAACCUUGUAAAUUAAUAUCACGCAUUCUACAUAGAGAUAAUUAAUACGGUAUCACACGUACUUCGUAUAGAAUUAGGUGUUCUCGUUCGAACCACGAGCCUGUAAACACGUAUGUGUAUACUGUUUCUUUUUUUUUCAAUCGUAUCUUGUAAAUGCAACAAGGCGUUCUAUCUGUCGAGCCUUGCUUUAAUCGACGAUGACAAGGAAAGGAGAUAUGUCGUUGAACAGUAUCGGGAAUCGGUGAUAAAAACACUUUUUGCUCAUCCAUUGGGAGUUUAAGGGUGUGGAAUUGAGAAGAAAAAACCCGUAACCGAAUUAGUGAGAGACUAGGAUCAAAGGUGAAUGAUAAUCGGAUAUUAAUCGCUGUAAUCGUAAAGACUAAUCUUCACGGUAUUUGUUUGUAUGAUUUUUAUUUUAUAUUUUUCUACGUUCCAUUUCUAGCUACCACUUCGGCGAACAUAUACAUCGUAUACAUAUUAUAAUAAUAUAUCCUUAUCGAUUUACAAUUAGCAUUGUUCUUAGUAGAGCGAUUUUUACAUUUUUCUUCGCAAUCGGUUAAGAACGCGAAAUUAGCGAUAGUAGUGUUCAGAGUUGGACAGAAUUUUAUUAAAAGAGAAAAAGAUUGCUGGGAUCGUUGAUUCGAUCGAGUUGCGUUGUUACACCGUAUUCAAUACGUCUGCUCGUUAUCUAUCAAUUGUUAGGGUAGAUUUGAUCGAUUAGGAGGAAAAAUUCUAUCCGACUCUGUUCGGUAUUUCAAGAGUCUUUAUUCCUCUCUCCCGUGUUGAAUUUUUCUCUUCGCUUGUUCUAGGGAUACCUCAUCGUAUCGGAUAACACAUAUCUUUUUUGUAUAAGUGUCGCGUUAAUAUACAUACGUAUAUAUAUAUAUACAUAUAUUUUCUACGUAUGUUAAUACUGAUACAUAUUUAUUGUCCUUACGAUACAAAAGUUUCCUCGCGAUACUGUUUUUCUUGUCCGUGAACGUUCGUCAAACAUCUUAUCGCUGCUUCGAUACUCGCAGUGUAAAAUUUAAAUUUAAACAAACGAAAUCGUUGAAUUAUUGAAAAAAAAAGAUAUUAUAGAACGAGUGUUCGAAGGACGUUUGUACGUUCGUUGAACAAAGUUUCGAUGCCUGUCGAAUGGGAUCAGCGCGAUGCAAUUAAUUGAAAAAUAUAUUCUUAAUUACUUCACAGAUUUUUCAAUUGUGUGAUAGGUAGAUAGAAUCAGGGCAUCAAGGAGAAUCGUGCCAAUCGAUGGACAAGUAUAAGGGAGCUUAGGUCGCGUUUUCACGACUCUCCGUGACAUUUAUCCUCGUAACAUCGAUGGUCAAUUUGUUCGUGUAAACUUGUAUAAAUGUAUUUUUACCGAGACUAUACUCAUCGAUCCUCGUAAGUGAAUUUAAUGAACUUUACUGUAAGGUUACGUUGCACGCGGAUUUACAUGUAUACCGUAGUCCUCUAGUUUUCUAUUGUUCCUCUAUUUUGGACCACUCGUCUUCGAACGGAAUAAAACGCGACCAAUUCAAGAUUUCCCUUGAACUUUCUAGAGUUAAUCUUAGCCUUUAAUUCUCGUCGAGAUUUUAAAUGAACGCGACUUUCGUUCUCACUUCCUUCCUUUUUCCAGGGACUUUUCAAAAGAGUGGUCGACAAUCAUAUUCGCGAUCCUUCUAUAAACUUUCCUUGAAAACCACCGAAAUUCUGAGAUCUGAAAAAUUAUUACAAAUAAGUUUUAAAGAAUUAUUUGCAACCAAGGUGAAAAAAUUGAAUUUUAAUAAUUUUUUUGGAAGAGGGAAAGGUGAGAACAAAAAAUUUUCUCUUCGAUCACACGUUUGAUCGACAAAUCCUGUUUUCUGUUCUUUCCUCUUCGUCGUCGAUCACAGGACCGUGUGCCUAUCACUCGGUUAUAGUAUUAAUCGUUAGGUGAUAAUAAUCAAUUAGAGUGGAGUUUAGGACCGAAUCGAAUCGCGAACACUUAUAAAUCGAUUGUAUCUGUUCCUGUCUCGAUUUCAGAUCCAACGAUAAAAUAAGUAUUGUUCGGCAUCGUUGACUGGAUUAACCAAGCUCGUAUCCGGUGAUUUGAAUGCCCCUGCGAUCCGACAUUGCCGUUUAACGCGUGAUAUCGUUGUUUAGUUCAAGAAUGGACGUUUCCAAGUUUCUAAUUGUAAGAAUACCGACAAGCUGGUCUUGUUCAGAAGGUUGAUUCGCGGCAGCUUAAAUGGGCUCAAACGAUGUGUAGGUUGGAUAAAUGAAAGACCAUUGAACUAUUUCUAAAAGUAACAAUUGUUAAAUUGUUGAUUUUAAAGAAAGGGUCUCGAAGAACUUUCACACCGAAGAAUAUGUUUGAAGACUGAUGAGUUAAACUUUAAUGAGUCGGAUCGUUAAAUUCGCGGAAACUUUGACCACUUCGAAAGAAAAGAUGGCAAAUUAAAAUUAAUUAUUUCUUGUUGGUACACCCUUUAGAAAUAGAUGUAACUGUUAUCUAUUAACGCUUAAAUGGCUAAUGGUUCUCGCAACUACGAUGCUUAAUUUUUAUUUCACCGUUACAAGAAUCAUAGAUUCCAUGAAAUAAGAUUAAAAAUGUCCACCGGCUGCAAUCAACGUGUUAAAAUAUCUGUACCCUCUUCUGCGCUGAAAUAAAACAUCCCCGGUAGCCUAAUUAUCAAACGGAUACAUUUGAAAACAAUGUAAUCCGGUAUGAUUUAUAAAUGAACAAAGUUUCAGUAGACACCUCUCUGCGAGCGUUCAACAUAGUUCGAAAGAACAUAGAUAAGUAAACGAACAAGAAGACAAAGCGACGAGAGUUGAGUACGAGCACGUGUGUGUGUGUGUGUGUGUGUGUGUGCCUGUGCGUCUCUGUAUGUGUGUGAAAGAGAGCAAAGAGUUUCCCAAGAGAGGAAAAAUAAACACAGUAUUGCCUUUCUCAGGGACGCGGCCUCGGCCCGUGAGUUUCAUCUUAAGUUUUUAGAGCAAUAAAUCAGCGACAAUCAUGGCGUUUCGGGCCGAGAUCGCGUCGCUAUCACUUUUCGUCUGUCCAUUUGCGUUCACUUCUUUCCUCUCCGCUUAAAUCGUCGCGUCGACGACGAAAAAAACCAUCGUGUACUUCGCCUUCAUGGACCUUCCAUGUUCUUUCAGUCCAGGUUCACGGCACGUUGUUGGCGACCGGUGGCCUUUGUUACGAGACCACCGCCUUUCUUUCGGUUCGAAACUGUAUUGAAAAGCUUGAAAAUACGGGUUAGCGAACCAUGGAAACGUUCAAUUGAUUCGCGUUACGAUUUUAGCCAUUAAGUCGGUUAACUGGUAAUUUAGACUGCAGCCGAAUGGGAAACAAAAGGGCCACUGUUAUCGCUAGCUAUGUAUUGUGAACGUCGACCUAAAUACACCGAUUUUCCAAUCGGUAACAAGCCGAGCUUAUUCGGUUCGCGUUUCGUUGCCGCGAAAGUUGGGUGGUCUGUUCUAUUCUAUUUUCUGUCUUUGUCAAAUACAGCUGCUUGGCGGGUUCGUUUUCCACCCCUGCAAGCUCGUUUCAGACGAUUUCACGCUACGGGUUGCUUCGAUUCAACCCUUUUUAUUGUUAGUUGCAAAUAUAAUCUACGUAGGCUGUGAUCUUGACGAUUAAAUAUAUGUUGUUCACAACGUGUGCAGAUUUCUAUCGGGUCGGAAUCUCGUCAAGUGUUUGUAUUUGGUGAUCGACUUGGACACGAACCAACAUUAUUACAGGAACGAUCGUGUAAUUGUAAUUACUUCUUCGAUUACCGCUAUUUUCUGAGUCUAUGUAACUUGUACGAGUAACUUCUGAUUAGAAGGAUGUAUCAAGCGAUUACUUUAUAAGUAAUAAAAAGAUUUCUGAUUCUCGAA